ACGCACGCUGGCGGCGUGCUUCACCCAUGCCAGUCGAACGGUGAAGGGAUCAGCUUGCUGGUUCUGGAUGAGUGGCGAACGGGUGAGUAACACGUGAGUAACCUGCCCCCUUCUUCUGGAUAACCGCAUGAAAGUGUGGCUAAUACGGGAUAUUCUGCGCCUGCUGCAUGGUGGGUGUGGGAAAGAUAUUGUUUCGGUGGGGGAUGGGCUCGCGGCCUAUCAGCUUGUUGGUGGGGUGAUGGCCUACCAAGGCGGUGACGGGUAGCCGGCCUGAGAGGGUGGACGGUCACACUGGGACUGAGACACGGCCCAGACUCCUACGGGAGGCAGCAGUGGGGAAUAUUGCACAAUGGGCGCAAGCCUGAUGCAGCGACGCCGCGUGAGGGAUGGAGGCCUUCGGGUUGUGAACCUCUUUCGCCAGUGAAGCAGGCCUGUCCCUUGUGGGUGGGUUGACGGUAGCUGGAGAAGAAGCGCCGGCUAACUACGUG
rnacentral:rRNA from 1 species